ACAAAAUACAUUGAAAGGAUGGUACAUCUUUGUUGCCUGCUUGCAUUAUUUGGAGAGACCUGAGUGCCACCUUUACCUUGCUGCAUUUGGUCCACCAUCUGGAUCAGGACCCCUGGGAGGGCACCGGGCAAAAUAUUAACCAACUUGGUUAACCUGCCCCUAAGCUGAUGUAUUGUAUAUGACCACCAGAAUUAUUAUUGAAAGUUCCUCUUACCAUGACUGAUGAAACCAGGUUGCACCUCGAGAAACGCGUAAUGAAGUGUGGUUUCACAAGCUGGAACUCUUUGAAGUAUUCAUGUGAAAGACUUACCUCAAACCUCAAGUAAACUAGAACAUGGUCCAUACUGCGAAAAAGCAUUGCAUGCCAGUUACAUCUACAGCCAUCUGUACAGUAGAUCUCACCUUCUUCAUGUACAUUUCCCACAUUCCAGUUUUCUGAUUGCUAGGGAGGAACAGAAAGGCAUAAGAUCCAGAGAAGAGAUGUAUCUUCAGACAGCUAUCCUUUUUGCACCAUAUGGAACGAGAUGACCGUCUCAGCUCAAGAAUAAUGAUACUUGUUACCCAAAUUGCAUCCUGAAACAUGGCACACUGUACGCAAGCAGGAAAGUGAUCUCUCUGAGAACCUGAGAAGAACCUCUGUGUAAUAGCCCCCCAAGGCAACCAAGAGUGAGAUUUCUGAAAAGAACCAUCCAGAUGGGAUUUUGUUUUCUAGUAAUUCCUACAGAAAAUGAAUUGAUUUAAUGGUUUAAAAUGUGAGAACUAGCUCGGAAUUGACUUAACUAUUUCUGUUUGAAAUUUCACAGUAAUAUGAUUUGUGUGUUUGGUUUAAGAGGAAGCAAGUGAAUGGUAGAACGACUUUUAAAAUAAGGUGAAUGCAUAAUUAUCACUGCAACUGUUUGUUCCUUUAACAAUAUAACUUGGAAGUUUUGCAAAUUUAUAUUUGGCUACAUUAACAUAAUUUAUACAUAUAAAAGGCAAAUAAU